AUUAAACGCUGGCGGCAGGCAUACACAUGCAAGUCGAGCGGAAACGAGUUAUCUGAACUUUCGGGAACGAUAACGGCGUCGAGCGGCGGACGGGUGAGUAAUGCCUAGGAAAUUGCCCUGAUGUGGGGGAUAACCAUUGGAAACGAUGGCUAAUACCGCAUGAUGCUUACGGGCCAAAGAGGGGGACCUUCGGGCCUCUCGCGUCAGGAUAUGCCUAGGUGGGAUUAGCUAGUUGGUGAGGUAAGGGCUCACCAAGGCGACGAUCCCUAGCUGGUCUGAGAGGAUGAUCAGCCACACUGGAACUGAGACACGGUCCAGACUCCUACGGGAGGCAGCAGUGGGGAAUAUUGCACAAUGGGCGCAAGCCUGAUGCAGCCAUGCCGCGUGUGUGAAGAAGGCCUUCGGGUUGUAAAGCACUUUCAGUCGUGAGGAAGGUGGUAGUGUUAAUAGCACUAUCAUUUGACGUUAGCGACAGAAGAAGCACCGGCUAACUCCGUGC
rnacentral:rRNA from 1 species